rnacentral:rRNA from 1 species
ACGGAAGGCAGCAGUGGGGAAUAUUGCACAAUGGGGGAAACCCUGAUGCAGCGACGCCGCGUGAGUGAUGAAGUAUUUCGGUAUGUAAAGCUCUAUCAGCAGGGAAGAUAAUGACGGUACCUGACUAAGAAGCACCGGCUAAAUACGUGCCAGCAGCCGCGGUAAUACGUAUGGUGCAAGCGUUAUCCGGAUUUACUGGGUGUAAAGGGAGCGUAGGCGGUACGGCAAGUCUGAAGUGAAAUCCCAGGGCUCAACCUUGGAACUGCUUUGGAAACUGUCGAACUAGAGUGUCGGAGAGGUAAGUGGAAUUUCUAGUGUAGCGGUGAAAUGCGUAGAUAUUAGGAGGAACAUCAGUGGCGAAGGCGGCUUACUGGGCUUUAACUGACGCUGAGGCUCGAAAGCGUGGGGAGCAAACAGGAUUAGAUACCCUGGUA